rnacentral:ncRNA from 1 species
CGAUCCGUGCCGGAAGAAGCCAUAAUAAGUUUGAUGGAAGUUCCGCAAUGUUCGAGUUCACCCACCCAAGAGUUGGCAUCUUGCGAUUGUCAUUGUGGAGUAACUGAUAAUAUCGUUUUCCACAUCCUGGCCUGUCGCAGCGCUAAGGAGCUCAGCAUUUGUCUGCUCGGGCUUCAAGUAAUCAAAGCACAACUCAUGUCCUCGAGUUAAAGGCUGGUUUUUAUGUUACUGCGCCCUCACCGGUUAGACUACUGACGAGGCCGAUCGUGCGCGUUUUCAGCUGUAAUGCUGCUUUGCUGACAGCGUGCACGGGCGCUAACGCAGGUGCCCAGAUUGGACUUAAUCAGGUCGGAAAACUGGUGUAGAGUAAAAGGGCAAAAGCUUACUUGAUUUUUGUUUUCGGAGUUUUAAGUAGAAAAGUUACUUAGCUUGUGGUGACCGAGCGUUCAUAGCGGCCUCACUUCUUGAUCCAUCGAUGUCGGCUCUUCCUAGUGUUGUGACGCAGAAUUCACCAAGCGUUGGAUUGAUCACCCAAGAAUAGGGGACCCGAGCUGGGUUUACACCGGAUUGAGAUGGAUUACUUCCACUCUACUAAUCAGUACACUGUCAGUGCAGUACAAACUGGCCGUUGCUAUGGUAGUCCUGUUUAGUGUGAGGGGAACUGCAGUUUCAGACAUUUGGUAUACGUGCCUGGGCGAAAGGCCAAUGCUGCGAAGCUACUAUCUGAGGGAUUAGGACUGCACGCCUCUAAGUUUGUAUCCCGUCCAAAUGUGCUACGGUACAUUCUUUGCAAGGCUUACUUUUUUAAUUUGGCUCUUGGCCCAGGCUGUCUGGUCCGGCCUAUUUUGUAUGGUUUUAUGCCAAAGCGAUAAACGAAAUCGUGCCUCUAGGAGUACAACGAUACAAUGACUAGGUGCAACUGAGUAUGAUAGGUUCGUUUCCAGAAGUUUC